UACAGAGGUCCCAAGCGUUGUUCGGAUUCACUGGGCGUAAAGGGUGCGUAGGCGGUCGGGUAAGUCUGACGUGAAAUCUCCAAGCCUAACUUGGAAACUGCGUUGGAUACUAUCCGGCUCGAGGAAUGGAGGGGAGACUGGAAUACUUGGUGUAGCAGUGAAAUGCGUAGAUAUCAAGUGGAACACCAGUGGCGAAGGCGAGUCUCUGGACAUUUCCUGACGCUGAGGCACGAAAGCCAGGGGAGUAAACGGG
rnacentral:rRNA from 1 species